AUUGAACGCUGGCGGCAGGCCUAACACAUGCAAGUCGAGCGGAUGAGAGGAGCUUGCUCCUUGAUUCAGCGGCGGACGGGUGAGUAAUGCCUAGGAAUCUGCCUGGUAGUGGGGGAUAACGUUCCGAAAGGAACGCUAAUACCGCAUACGUCAUACGGGAGAAAGCAGGGGACCUUCGGGCCCUGCGCUAUCAGAUGAGCCUAGGUCGGAGUAGCUAGUUGGUGAGGUAAUGGCUCACCAAGGCGACGAACCGUAACUGGUCUGAGAGGAUGAUCAGUCACACUGGAACUGAGACACGGUCCAGACUCCUACGGGAGGCAGCAGUGGUGAAUAUUGGACAAUGGGCGAAAGCCUGAUCCAGCCAUGCCGCGUGUGUGAAGAAGGUCUUCGGAUUGUAAAGCACUUUAAGUUGGGAGGAAGGGCAGUAAGUUAAUACCUUGCUGUUUUGACGUUACCAACAGAAUAAGCACCGGCUAACUUCGUGCCAGCCGCCGCCGUAA
rnacentral:rRNA from 1 species